rnacentral:rRNA from 1 species
UGUCAAGUCGGAUGUGAAAUCCCCGGGCUCAACCUGGGAACUGCAUUCGAAACUGGCAGGCUAGAGUCUUGUAGAGGGGGGUAGAAUUCCAGGUGUAGCGGUGAAAUGCGUAGAGAUCUGGAGGAAUACCGGUGGCGAAGGCGGCCCCCUGGACAAAGACUGACGCUCAGGUGCGAAAGCGUGGGGAGCAAACAGGAUUAGAUACCCUGGUAGUCCACGCCGUAAACGAUGUCGAUUUGGAGGUUGUGCCCUUGAGGCGUGGCUUCCGGAGCUAACGCGUUAAAUCGACCGCCUGGGGAGUACGGCCGCAAGGUUAAAACUCAAAUGAAUUGACGGGGGCCCGCACAAGCGGUGGAGCAUGUGGUUUAAUUCGAUGCAACGCGAAGAACCUUACCUGGUCUUGACAUCCACAGAACUUUCCAGAGAUGG